rnacentral:rRNA from 1 species
GCUAAUCCUCCCAGGGUCAGUCGGGGGCUAAGGCGAGGCCGGGAGGCGUAGCCGAUGCGCAGCAGGUGGACAUUCCUGCACCACCGACGCGGAGCUUGACCGAUGGGGCGACGGAGAAGGGUAGCCGGGCGGGGUUCUGGACGUCCCCGUGAGGCCGCGUAGGGCGCGGCGCAGUGAAAUGCGCGCCGCACAGGGCCCGAGGCGGCGGACGAAGCGACUGAGCGAAGUCGGUGAGCCCACGCUCCCAAGAAAAACCCCUAGGGAUCCGCGAGGUGCCCGUACCGCAAACCGACACAGGUGGGUGGGUAGAACAUACCAAGGCGAUCGGGAGAACCAUGGUAAAGGAACUCGGCAAAACCGCCCCGUAACUUCGGGAGAAGGGGUGCCGGGGCCGGUGGAGGGGCACGCCCCCCGAGCCGGGCCCGGCCACAGCGAAGAGGUCCAAACGACUGUUUAUCAAAAACACAGGACUCUGCCCAAGCCGUAAGGCGACGCAUAGGGUCUGACGCCUGCCCGGUGCCGGAAGGUCACGGGGAGCCGUCAUCCUUCGGGAGAAGCGGCGAACCCAAGCCCCGGUAAACGGCGGCCGUAACUAUAACGGUCCUAAGGUAGCGAAAUUCCUUGUCGGGUAAGUUCCGACCUGCACGAAAGGCGUAACGAUUUGGACGCUGUCUCUACCAUGGCCCCGGUGAAAUUGCACUAGUCGUGAAGAUGCGACUUACCCGCGGAAGGACGGAAAGACCCCGUGAACCUUUACUGCAGCUAGGCAUUGGCUGCCGGUCCGUCGUGUAGAGGAUAGGUGGGAGGCUUGGAACCGAGGGCGCCAGCCCCCGGGGAGCCACCCUUGGAAUACCACCCUCGACGCUCUGGCAUCCUAACCCCCGGCCCUGAUCGGGCGGGGGGACCGUGCCUGGUGGGUAGUUUGACUGGGGCGGUCGCCUCCCAAAGAGUAACGGAGGCGCGCGCAAGGUCUGCUCGGGACGGUCGGCAACCGUCCUCCUGAGUGCAAGAGCAUAAGCAGGCUUGACUGCGAGGCGCACAUGCCGAGCAGGUGGGAAACCAGGCUCUAGUGAUCCGGCGGCCCAGAGUGGAAUGGCCGUCGCUCAACGGAUAAAAGGUACUCCGGGGAUAACAGGCUGAUCUUGCCCAAGAGUCCACAUCGACGGCAAGGUUUGGCACCUCGAUGUCGGCUCAUCGCAUCCUGGGGCUGGAGCAGGUCCCAAGGGUACGGCUGUUCGCCGUUUAAAGCGGUACGCGAGCUGGGUUCAGAACGUCGUGAGACAGUUCGGUCCCUAUCCUCCGUGGGCGUAGGAAGACUGAGGGAGGCUGCCCCUAGUACGAGAGGACCGGGGUGGACGGACCUCCGGUGCACGGGUUGUUCGCCAAGAGCACCGCCCGGUAGCUGAGUCCGGUCUGGAUAACCGCUGAAGGCAUCUAAGCGGGAAGCCAGUCCCGAGAUGAGUCUUCCCUUCGGUAAGGCCCCAGGUAGACCACCUGGUUGAUAGACGGCAGGUGCAAGCGCCGCGAGGCGCUCAGCCGAGCCGCACUAAUAGGCCGAGCUCUUCCUCC